CCUACGGGAGGCAGCAGUGAGGAAUAUUGGUCAAUGGACGAGAGUCUGAACCAGCCAAGUAGCGUGAAGGAUGACUGCCCUAUGGGUUGUAAACUUCUUUUAUAUGGGAAUAAAAUGUUCCACGUGUGGGAUUUUGUAUGUACCAUAUGAAUAAGGAUCGGCUAACUCCGUGCCAACAGCCGCGGUAAUACGGCGGAUCCGAGCGUUAUCCGGAUUUAUUGGGUUUAAAGGGAGCGUAGGUGGAUUGUUAAGUCAGUUGUGAAAGUUUGCGGCUCAACCGUAAAAUUGCAGUUGAAACUGGCAGUCUUGAGUACAGUAGAGGUGGGCGGAAUUCGUGGUGUAGCAGUGAAAUGCUUAGAUAUCACGAAGAACUCCGAUUGCGAAGGCAGCUCACUGGACUGCAACUGACACUGAGGCUCGAAAGUGUGGGUAUCAAACAGGAUUAGAUACCCGAGUAGUC
rnacentral:rRNA from 1 species